GACGAACGCUGACGGCGUGCUUAACACGUGCAAGUCGAACGGUAAGGCCCUUCGGGGUACACGAGUGGCGAACGGGUGAGUAACACGUGGGUGAUCUGCCCUGCACUUCGGGAUAAGCCUGGGAAACUGGGUCUAAUACCGGAUAGGACCACUGCCUGCAUGGGUGGUGGUGGAAAGCUUUUGCGGUGUGGGAUGGGCCCGCGGCCUAUCAGCUUGUUGGUGGGGUGAUGGCCUACCAAGGCGACGACGGGUAGCCGGCCUGAGAGGGUGACCGGCCACACUGGGACUGAGAUACGGCCCAGACUCCUACGGGAGGCAGCAGUGGGGAAUAUUGCACAAUGGGCGCAAGCCUGAUGCAGCGACGCCGCGUGAGGAAUGACGGCCUUCGGGUUGUAAACCUCUUUCAGCACCGACGAAGCGCAAGUGACGGUAGGUGCAGAAGAAGGACCGGCCAACUACGUGCCAGCCGCCGCCGUAA
rnacentral:rRNA from 1 species